AUUGAACGCUGGCGGAAUGCUUUACACAUGCAAGUCGAACGGCAGCACGGACUUCGGUCUGGUGGCGAGUGGCGAACGGGUGAGUAAUGUAUCGGAACGUGCCCAGUCGUGGGGGAUAACGUAGUGAAAAUUACGCUAAUACCGCAUACGAUCUAUGGAUGAAAGCGGGGGAUCGCAAGACCUCGCGCGAUUGGAGCGGCCGAUAUCAGAUUAGGUAGUUGGUGGGGUAAAGGCCCACCAAGCCAACGAUCUGUAGCUGGUCUGAGAGGACGACCAGCCACACUGGAACUGAGACACGGUCCAGACUCCUACGGGAGGCGGCGGUGGGGAAUUUUGGACAAUGGGCGAAAGCCUGAUCCAGCCAUUCCGCGUGCAGGAUGAAGGCCCUCGGGUUGUAAACUGCUUUUGUACAGAACGAAAAGGUUUCUACUAAUACUAGGAGCUCAUGACGGUACUGUAAGAAUAAGCACCGGCUAACUACGUGCCAGCCGCCGCAGUAA
rnacentral:rRNA from 1 species